rnacentral:sRNA from 2 species
UGACAUCAAGGGCCGAAUCCUGCCGCUGGCAGGAACGGGGGAACCAAUUAUUGGGGUGAAUUGCAGGCGAACGCCCAAUUCGUUUGCAUAGGCACCGAGGGUGCCGAAUCCGUCAGCUAACCUCGUAGGCGAAUAAGUGUGUGUUU